rnacentral:tRNA from 1 species
CAUUAGAUGGCUGAAAGUAAGUACUGGUCUCUUAAACCAUUUUAUAAUAAAUUGACGUUUAUUUCUAAUGA